AGCACCGAGAUGUAGAAACAUUCCGAUUCUCGGUGGUGGUGGUGAGAUGUCUCCGUGGGAAGAGGCGCUUCCUGUCAAGUUCCAUGCCCUCAGAACCCAUGAGCUUUGGAUGGAAGCCCAGAGCUGGGAGCCAUGGGUACCACUACAGUAAAUCUAGGAAGAGUUCUCACAGAGAGGAGGAGAUCACAUCAAUGCACUUGUGCUGGGACAUCUGGGACAUCUGGGACAUCUGGCAGCAGACAGAGAAGGCUUCUCCUGCUCACAUCUUCUGAGCUUUGUCUUUCCCUCCACCCGACCCCCAGACUGACCCUUGGCUGCUCCAUCCUUGUUAAGGCCUGAAGAACAGGUCUCAUGUGGUGAGCACCGGAAUGAGGUAGGUAGAGGUGAGGGAUGUCAGACCAGGCACAUGAUGCUUAAAGCCCACACCGGAGCCCUAAGGUGGGGCAGCCAGCAGUGGCCAGCCUUUCAGGGGCGGUGGAUCCGCUCGCACUUCACUUCAGAGCAGGUAUGGGGACUGUUUUCUGGAACCCAGGCUCUAACCAUCUUGGCUUUUCUGCCCACCCCUCAGGCUUUGGGCUGAGAGCUCUGGACCCAUUCAUGCGGGGUUUGACUCUUCCAGGCUGAGAGACUGUUAAAGGAAGAAGCAGUGACCCGCAGCUGACUGCAGUGGCCAGGGCUCCAGGGUACACAUCUGUCAAUUCACCUCCCUGGAGGCACGGGCUGCUGGGCUCUUCUCUGUGUGUCUGCAGGGAGUGAGUUCCGUGAGAAGCUGUUGGGUAUAACCCGUGAAUGCUGAGAGAACUGUAGGCUGCCUGUGGGGAAGAGGGAGCAGGCAUUGCCCUCUCGCCUGUGAAUCGCUAGGGAGGUGGAAGAAAGAGUUCAUACAGCCGACUAGGAAGCAGUCACUCUGACAAGCCGGGCGAAGAGAUGUUUGGCCACCUGCAUCUGACUUCUAGAUCCGCUUCUGUUCUUGGGACCAGCAAUGCUUGAAUGAAAAGCUCUGCUGAUUGCCUGCUGCAGAGAAGCCUGGGCCCACAGGGCACCGGGUAUGAAGGAAAGCAAGCGGUUCCGUGUUGAAGGCACGGUCUCUGUCCUGCGGCAGGUAUGCGGCCCUGUCAGAUUUCUCUGUCCAGGACCAUGUCUCUGUCUUGCCUGAUAUCCCCACUGGUGUGUCUCUCACAGUGCGGUGUAGUAUGAGAACACUCAGUGUGAAGAAUGGAAGCCACAGGGAGCCAGGUAAGGAACACGGAAUCCUUGGGUUCACUCUGACUGAACACUGGGGUUUGGGGCCUUGUAGGAUACUUAGCAGUCUCCCCGGUCUCCACCAGUGUGAUACCAACAGCAGCCUGUCAACCUGCUGGACAACCAAAACUGUCCCCACACUUCGCUCUGGGACAAAUUACCUGGCUGUGCCAAUAGUGUGUAUGGCAGAAGUCUGUAUACAGAGCGCAUCAGAGAGCAGACAAUGAUUAUUGGGAUGCCCACGGGACCUUGUCUGGAGAUGGAGGUGGGGAUGUGUGUGGUACCUUUCUCACACUCUCCACGGAAGCUCUUUGUCAUUCCUCUUUAGAAGGUGUCAGGAAAAAGGGGGCUGCUGUGGUCAGAACCCUUGCUAUUUUAUUAUUGGCUAUUAGGAAGCACGGAAGGCCCCAAACUUGGCUGAAGUGCCCUCUUGAGCCAAGUUAUGGGAUGUGGGAUGACUGUCUGUUUUCAGUGUCCAGCACGCAGGGAUUGGGGCAAGCACAUCAGCCUAAGAUGGCGAAAACUAUGGUACCAGCACCCAUUACGUCGAUUUGUGAGAAAAUUAUGCAAUAAAUGGCAUAUCUUACUGUUCCUGAAAUAUUACUCAGCUGAUUUUGCAUUUGUAAACAGAGGUUGAAAAUACAUAAUCAUUAUUUUGAAAGCUUAAGAAAAAAAUGCGCAAGUGCUGAGAUGAAUGGUCGCAGAAAAAAGGCUGUGGUAGAAAUGUGCUUUCAAAUCAGACAGAUCUGAACCGAGCCCCGUUGUACUAGAAGCAGAUCUUCCCUAAGGGCUCAGGGUCCUUGUCGGGUGUGUAUGAGGAGGGUUGUAGGUGAUUGGGGUCCUCUAGGGGCUCGUGAAGCCUGGUUGCUGGCACAAUCUUGUUUAAUGGAUGAUCUCCGUUAAUGUUUUAUACUUCCGUCAGCUGGAUCUAGGCAUAAUUAUUUUUAGAAUUAAAAAAAAAAAUCUCACAAAACAACAUAAAAGGUGGUGAAAGAUUUACAGAGAGCUGCUCCUUAGACCUGGCUCCGGAGGCUGACAUAGGGGCACUCUCUGCUUUCCCUACUGUGGGUGAACUUCCUGCCUUUGAACCCACUCACCACACUCCCUUUAUGGAUCUCAGGGAAACCCCAGAGCCACGGUGCAACCCCUCCCCACCCACACAGGCCCGCUGCCUGGCCCAGGUACGCGUAGGCUUCUUACUGGGACUUGAAGCUGCACACGUGGGCUCUGGUUCUCACCCACCGCUCUCAUCAGGCGGGGCGUCCCCAGAACAAAGGGUGCCAUCUGCUCAAGGACAAACCCAGACUUCAUUUCUGUUGGUAUCUUCUUUCACCAUCUUUCC